rnacentral:rRNA from 1 species
GACGAACGCUGGCGGCGUGCUUAACACAUGCAAGUCGAACGGUAAGGCCCUUCGGGGUACACGAGUGGCGAACGGGUGAGUAACACGUGGGUGAUCUGCCCUGCACUUCGGGAUAAGCCUGGGAAACUGGGUCUAAUACCGGAUAGGACCACUGCCUGCAUGGGUGGUGGUGGAAAGCUUUUGCGGUGUGGGAUGGGCCCGCGGCCUAUUAGCUUGUUGGUGGGGUGAUGGCCUACCAAGGCGACGACGGGUAGCCGGCCUGAGAGGGUGACCGGACACACUGGGACUGAGAUACGGCCCAGACUCCUACGGGAGGCAGCAGUGGGGAAUAUUGCACAAUGGGCGCAAGCCUGAUGCAGCGACGCCGCGUGAGGGAUGCCGGCCUUCGGGUUGUAAACCUCUUUCAGCACCGACGAAGCGCAAGUGACGGUAGGUGCAGAAGAAGGACCGGCCAACUACGUGCCAGCCGCCGCCGUAA